GAGAGAGGGAACAAUGGCAAGCGAUGAUCGGAUGGGUUACAUGGCGGUGGUGGCCGUUUCCUGCGGCAUGGCGCUCGUCGGGUUGCAGCUUCACAAGCGCUUGACAUCGGAGUUCAUGAAGAAGGUGGAACUGUCGAUCGGUGGUAAGAGGCCUAAGAAGAAGGUGAGAUUCGCCGACGACGUGGUCGAGCCGGCCAGAACGAAAACCGUAGGGGGAAGACCGAGCGUCCACGCUUGAAACAGAGAGCAACUCUUUUAACUGGUGAUGCCGCAAGCUUGGAUGGUAGCUUUUUGGGCUCCUGCUGAUGCAUCUGCUCGUAAUGUUUGAGGGGACGGGUGGGUUUCUGCAAAACUCACUGACCCAAGACUUGAUAGUAUUAUUUGGAAGGGAGAUGACUUGAUACUGUUUGGUGCGUAGCAGAUAGAUAGAUGCCUUCCUUGUAAACUUGCUACCUACCUACCUACCUACUACAUGGGCUGUUUGUCUUGCA